rnacentral:rRNA from 1 species
AGCGAACGCUGGCGGCAGGCCUAACACAUGCAAGUCGAACGAACCUUUCGGGGUUAGUGGCGGACGGGUGAGUAACACGUGGGAACGUGCCUUUAGGUUCGGAAUAACUCAGGGAAACUUGUGCUAAUACCGAAUGUGCCCUUCGGGGGAAAGAUUUAUCGCCUUUAGAGCGGCCCGCGUCUGAUUAGCUAGUUGGUUGAGGUAAUGGCUCACCAAGGCGACGAUCAGUAGCUGGUCUGAGAGGAUGAUCAGCCACAUUGGGACUGAGACACGGCCCAAACUCCUCCGGGAGGCAGCAGUGGGGAAUCUUGCGCAAUGGGCGAAAGCCUAACGCAGCCAUGCCGCGUGAAUGAUGAAGGUCUUAGGAUUGUAAAAUUCUUUCACCGGGGACGAUAAUGACGGUACCCGGAGAAGAAGCCCCGGCUAACUUCGUG